UUACGGCCAUAUCACGUUAAAAUAUCGCUUUUCGUUUGAUCACCGAAGUUAAGCAAUGUCGAGCCUGGUCAGUAGAGAGAUGGAUCACCGUUUGGGAAUACGAGAUGCU